rnacentral:tRNA from 5 species
GCCCUUGUAGUUCAACGGAUAGAAUAGAAGUUUCCUAAACUUUAGAUAGGGGUUCGAUUCCCCUCGAGGGUA